GGCUUUAUAGUCAAUUUAUGAUAUUAGACUGCAAUUCUAAAGUAGGAAUUCCUAAAGCUU
rnacentral:tRNA from 1 species